rnacentral:rRNA from 1 species
AUCAGAUCAAGCGCGAGAAGGGCGUUUGGUGAAUGCCUUGGCAGUAAGAGGCGAUGAAAGACGUGAUACUCUGCGAUAAGCCAUGGGGAGCUGAGAAUAAGCUUUGAUCCAUGGAUUUCUGAAUGGGGCAACCCACCUGAAAGUUCAUUAUAAUUACUUCGGUAGUUUAUAAUGUUCUUAACCCAGGUACUUAUGAACUGAAUACAUAGGUUUAUAAGAGCAAACCCGGGGAACUGAAACAUCU